UGUCGUCCUAAGCAGGAGUCGUUCCGUCGCUCGUCACCUGUUUGAUCAAGAUCGUCCUGGAUGCUCUUCGGUGAGUGUCCUUGGCGACUUGAACGUUUACUUUGAGAAAAUGGAAGCGCUCAAGGCAGGCCGUAGAGCUUGAACAGUGGUGCAUGGAAUAAUGAAAGAUGGCCUCGGUGCUAUUUUGUUGGUUUACGGCAAUGAA
rnacentral:rRNA from 1 species